rnacentral:rRNA from 1 species
UGGGGAAUAUUGCACAAUGGGCGCAAGCCUGAUGCAGCCAUGCCGCGUGUAUGAAGAAGGCCUUCGGGUUGUAAAGUACUUUCAGCGGGGAGGAAGGUGUUGAGGUUAAUAACCUCAGCAAUUGACGUUACCCGCAGAAGAAGCACCGGCUAACUCCGUGCCAGCAGCCGCGGUAAUACGGAGGGUGCAAGCGUUAAUCGGAAUUACUGGGCGUAAAGCGCACGCAGGCGGUCUGUCAAGUCGGAUGUGAAAUCCCCGGGCUCAACCUGGGAACUGCAUUCGAAACUGGCAGGCUAGAGUCUUGUAGAGGGGGGUAGAAUUCCAGGUGUAGCGGUGAAAUGCGUAGAGAUCUGGAGGAAUACCGGUGGAGAAGGCGGCCCCCUGGACAAAGACUGACGCUCAGGUGCGAAAGCGUGGGGAGCAAACA